GGAGAGGACGAGAGCCUGGCCUGGUCCCACCGCUUCCCCGGACCCCGCUUCUCCAUCUGUCCCAGGUCGGAGGAGGGCUGUGCCGAUGGUGCGAGUUGUGACUUCGCUCACAGCGAGGAGGAGCUUCAGGAGUGGCGCGAACGAAGGGAUUUCCUGCGCAGGACGUUACACAGAGCCAGAGCCGAAAACCUGCUCUCCCCAACUGACAACGACUUCGGCAUCUUGACCUUCAUAUUUCAGGAUUAAAGAAAAAACUGCGUCAACCAGAACACGAUUCUGUCAUGUUUGAUGAACGGAUAUUUUACUUCAUGUUGCUUAAAUAGAGAAUAAAUCCUGUUUAUACACUUAAUAAAGCUUUCAUCUGUUAGACGGCAAUCAGAGCAUACUGUCUUUGGGCUGUUGAUGUGAUCUCUGCAGUAUUUGUCCAAGACUUAUAAUUCAUGUUAUAAAAGAAAAUUAAAAUUACACAUCGAUCACAGUAUAAUGCAGUAAACAUUACUUUUGUGUAAUUAUGUUUCUAUUUGUAUUUUUACGCAACUAGAGCUAUAACCUUUUUCUCAACCCUCUUUCAUGGUCCACCUUUAAUUGAUAUGAGGCAGCGGGAAUGGGUCUUUAUUAAAAAUGGCAUUGUGUUUCUUCCAUUUUCAAGUUUGUUUUGUGCACAAAAAGUCAGUGUUGCAGAGUGUUAUAAUAUCUUAAUAUCUUAAAAUGAACAUUGUGUUAUUACAACUUUUGAAAAGUUACCCUUUAUAACAAUCAUUGCAAUUACGUUUUAAUAUAUUGUAAUUUCCCAGUCCAUACUCGAAAGUCAUGUUCUUGUAGCUAGAAAUGCAUUAAGCAAUCUCACCUGGUUUGUCAGGGGUUGGCAGCGGCCUGUUGUGUUGGUCUUGUGUUUUGUUGUUUUGUUGAUGCUGGACAUGGCUACUGUGUGAGGCAUCCCGGUCACACCUUUUCCCGCCCCACCGGUAGGGUCUGGUUCACCCUUCGUCCCACCUGAAUGCGUCCAUUUGAAUUGCCUCUGGAAUUGGGGCUGGAGUCACUGCCAGCGGUUUCACCCGUCUUUUGGACUAUUACAACAAAACCCUUGAUUGUUAAAUAAACUGUUUUUUUUCUGCAAUUGGGUCUGCUCGUCUGUCCUUACAUGGUUAAUGAUUUGCAUGCAUUAUAUUCAUGGUAGUUUCUAGACUUUCCCCUCAAAGCCUUUGGAGAGGGUUCACGCUAGUGACAUCUUGUGGAAAAAGCCUUUGCAUCAGCAAUUUUUUUUAUUUACUGUUUCAAAUCAAUUUGUUCUACAAUUCUCAUUUUUGUGUGAAUAAAUGAGUCAAUAAAA